ACCUAGCUGAUCUCCCUGUGCUAUGCAGCUGCUUCCCACUAGCUAUCUGUUUUAUGUUUGGUAGUGUAUAUAUGUCCAUGCCACUCCCUCACUUUGUCACAGCUUGCCCUUCCCCCUCCCCAUAUCCUCAAGUCCAUUCUCUAGUAGGUCUGUGUCUUUAUUCCUGUCUUACCCCUAGGUUCUUCAUGACAUUUUUUUCUUAAAUUCUGUAUACAUGUGUUAGCAUAUGGUAUUUGUCUUUCUCUUUCUGACUUACUUCACUCUGUAUGACAGACUCUAGGUCCAUCCACCUCAUUACAAAUAGCUCAAUUUUGUUUCUUUUUAUGGCUGAGUAAUAUUCCAUUGUGUAUAUGUGCCACAUGUUCUUUAUCCAUUCAUCCGAUGAUGGACACUUAGGUUGUUUCCAUAUCCUGGCUAUUGUAAAUAGAGCUGCAAUGAACAUUUUGGUACAUGACUCUUGCUGAAUUAUGGUUCUCUCAGGGUAUAUGCCGAGUAGUGGGAUUGCUGGGUCAUAUGGUAGUCCUAUUUGUAGUAUUAUAAGGAACCUCCAUACUGUUCUCCAUAGUGGCUGUACCAAUUCACAUUCCCACCAGCAGUGCAAGUGUUUCCUUUUCUCCACACCCUCUCCAGCAUUUAUUGUUUCUACAUUUUUUGAUGAUGGCCAUUCUGACUGGUUUGAGAUGAUAUCUCAUUGUACUUUUGAUUUGCAUUUCUCUAAUGAUUAAUGAUGUUGAGCAUUCUUUCAUGUGUUUGUUGGCAAUCUGUAUAACUUCUUUGGAGGAAUGUCUACUUAGUUCUUCUGCCCAUUUUGAAUUGGGUUGUUUGUUUUUUUGUUAUUGAGGUGCAUGAGCUGCUUGUAAAUUUUGAAGAUGAAUCCUUUGUCAGUUGCUUCAUUUGCAAAUACGUUCUCCCAUUCUGAGGGCUGUCUUUUGGUCUUGUUUAUGCUUUCCUUUGCUGUGCAAAAGCUUUGAAGUUUCAUUAGGUCCCAUUUGUUUAUUUUUAUUUCCAUUACUCUAGGAAGUGGGUCAAAAAGGAUCUUGCUGUGACUUAUGUCAUAGAGUGUUCUGCCUAUGUUUUCCUCUAAGAGUUUGAUAGUUUCUGGCCUUACAUUUAGGUCUUUCAUCCAUUUUGAGUUUAUUUUUGUGUAUGGUGUUAGGGAAUGAUCUCAUCUCAUACUUUUACAUGUAUCUGUCCAGUUUUCCCAGCACCACUUAUUGAAGAGGCUGUCCUUUCUCCACUGUACAUUCCUGCCUCCUUUAUCAAAGAUAAGGUGACCAUAUGUGCGUGGGUUUAUCUCUGGGCUUUCUAUCCUGUUCCAUUGAUCUGUAUUUCUGUUUUUGUGCCAGUACCAUACUGUCUUGAUUACUGUACCUUUGUACUAUAGUCUGAAGUCAGGGAGCCUGAUUCCUCCAGCUCCAUUUUUCGUUCUCACGAUUGCCUUGGCUAUUUGGAGUCUUUUGUGUUUCCAUACAAAUUGUGCAAUUUUUUGUUCUCAUCCUGUGAAAAAUGCCAGUGGUAGUUUGAUAGGGAUUGCAUUGAAUCUGUAGAUCGCUUUGGGUAGUAGAGUCAUUUUCACACUGUUGAUUCUUCCAAUCCAAGAACAUGGUAUAUCUCUCCAUCUAUUUGUAUCAUCUUUAAUUUCUUUCAUUGGUGUCUUAUAAUUUUCUGCAUACAGGUCUUUUGUCUCCUUAGGUAGGUUUAUUCCUAGAUAUUUUAUCCUUUUUGUUGCAGUGGUAAAUGUGAGUGUUUUCUUGAUUUCACUUUCAGAUUUCUCAUCAUUAGAGUAUGUAAUGCCAGAGAUUUCUGUGCAUUAAUUUUGUAUCCUGCUACUUUACCAAAUUCAUUGAUUAGCUCUAGUAGUUUUCUGGUAGCAUGUUUAGGAUUCUCUACGUAUAGUAUCAUGUAAUCUGCAAACAGUGAAAGCUUUACUUCUUCUUUUCCGAUUUGGAUUCCUUUUAUUUCCUUUUCUUCUCUGAUUGCUGUGGCUAAAACUUCCAAAACUGUGUUGAAUAAGAGUGCUGAGAGUGGGCAGCCUUGUCUUGUUCCUGAUAUUAGUGGAAAUGCUUUCAGUUUUUCACCAAUGAGAACAGUGUUGGCUGUGGUUUGUCAUAUAUGGCCUUUAUUAUGUUGAGGAAAGUUCCUUCUAUGCCUACUUUCUGCAGAGUUUUUAUCAUAAAUGGGUGUUGAAUUUUGUCGAAAGCUUUCUCUGCAUCUAUUGAGAUGACCAUAUGGUUUUUCUCCCUCAAUUUGUUAAUAUGGUGUAUCACGUUGAUUGAUUUGCAUAUAUUGAAGAAUCCUUGCAUUCCUGGAAUAAACCCCACUGAUCAUGGUGUAUGAUCCUUUUAAUGUGCUGUUGGAUUCUGUUUGGUAGUAUUUUGUUGAGGAUUUUUGCAUCUAUGUUCAUCAGUGAUAUUGGCCUCUAGUUUUCUUUCUUUGUGACAUCCUUUCCUGGUUUUGGUAUCAGGGUGAUGGUGGCCUCGUAGAAUAAGUUUGGGAGUGUUCCUCCCUCUGCUAUAUUUUGGAAGAGUCUGAGAAGGAUAGAUGUUAGCUCUUCACUAAAUGUUUGAUAGAAUUCACCUGUGAAGCCAUCUGGUCCUGGGCUUUUGUUUGUUGGAAGAUUUUUUUUUUUUUUGCGGUACCCGGGCCUCUCACUGCUGUGGCCUCUCCCAUCAUGGAGCACAGGCUCUGGACACGCAGGCUCAGCGGCCAUGGCUCAUGGGCCCACGCUCCGCGGCAUGUGGGAUCUUCCCGGACCGGGGCACGAACCCGUGUCCCGUGCAUCGGCAGGCAGACUCUCAACUGCUGCACCACCAGGGAAGCCCCUGUUGGAAGAUUUUUAAUCACAGUUUCAAUUCCAGUGCUUGUGAUUGGUCUGUUUAUAUUUUCUAUAUCUUCCUGAUUCAGUCUUGGCAGGUUGUACAUUUCUAAGAAUUUGUCCAUUUCUUCCAGGUUGUCCAUUUUAUUGCCAUAGAGUUGCUUGUAGUAAUCUCUCAUGAUCUUUUGUAUUUCUCCAGUGUCAGUUGUUACUUCUCCGUUUUCAUUUCUAAUUCUAUUGAUCUGAGUCUUUUCCCUUUUUUUCUUGAUGAGUCUGGCUAAUGGUUUAUUAAUUUUGUUUAUCUUCUCAAAGAACAGCUUUUAGUUUUAUUGAUCUUGGCUAUUGUUUCCUUCAUUUAUUUUUCAUUUAUUUCUCAUAUGAUUUUUAUGAUUUCUUUCCUUCUGCUAACUUUGUUUUUUUUUUGUUGUUGUUCUUUCUCUAAUUGCUUUAGGUGCAAGCUUAUGUUGUUUAUUCGAGAUGUUUCCUGUUUCUUAAGGUAGGAUUGUAUCGCUAUAAACUUCCCUCUUAGAACUGCUUUUGCUGCAUCCCAUAGGUUUUGGGUUGUCGUGUCUCCAUUGUCAUUUGUUUCUAGGUAUUUUUUGAUUUCCUCUUUGAGUUCUUCAGUGAUCACUUCGUUAUUAAGUAGUGUAUUGUUUAGCUUCCAUGUGUUUGUAUUUUUUACAGAUCCUUUUCUGUAAUAUAUAGCCUCAUAGCAUUGUGGUUGGAAAAGAUACCUGAUACAAUUUCAGUUUUCUUAAAUUUACCAAGGCUUGAUUUGUGACCCAAGAUAUGAUCUGUCCUGGAGAAUGAUCCAUGAGCACUUGAGAAAAAUGUGUAUUCUGUUCUUUUUGGAUGGAAUGUCCUAUAAAUUAAGUGCAUCUUUUUUAAUGUAUCAUUUAAAGCUUGUGUUUCCUUAUUUAUUUUCAUUUUGGAUGAUCUGUCCAUUGGUGAAAGUGGGCUUGUUAAAGUCCCCUACUAUGAAUGUGUUACUCUUGAUUUCCCUUUUUUUUUUACUUUAUUAUUAUUAUUUUUGGUUUCCCCUUUUAUGGCUGUUACUAUUUGCCUUAUGUAUUGAGGUGCUGCUAUGUUGGGUGCAUAAAUAUUUACAAUUGUUAUAUUUUCUUCUUGGAUCGAUCCCUUGAUCAUUAUAUAGUGUCCUUCUUUGUCUCUUCUAAUAGUCUUUAUUUUAAUGUCUAUUUUGUGUGAUAUGAGAAUUGCUACUCCAGCUUUCCUUUGGUUUCCAUUUGCAUGGAAUAUCUUUAUUCCAUCCCCUCACUUUCAGUCUGUAUGUGUCUCGAGGUCUGAAGUGGGUCUCUCGUAGACAGUAUAUAUAUGGGUCUUGUUUUUAUGUCCAUUCUAUAUAUCUAUAUAGCUAGUCUGUGUCUUUUGGUGGGAGCAUUUAAUCCAUUUACAUUUAAGGUAAUUAUCGAUAUGUAUGUUCCUCUUCCCAUUUUCUUAAUUGUUUAUUAAUUGUUAUUAUAGUUGAUUUCCUACUCUUGUGUUUCUUGCCUAGAGAAGAUCCUUUAACAUUUGUUGUAAAGCUGGUUUGGUGGUGCUGAACUCUCUUAGCUUUUGCUUGUCUGUAAAGGUCCAUGCUUUUAGCCGCGGCUUGCACCCCUCUCUGGGGUCUGCGUUUUUAGCCGCAGCUCGCGCCCGUCUCUGGGGUCCGCGUUUUUAGCCGCGGCUCGCGCCCAUCUCUGGAGUACCUUUAAGCAGCGCUCUUAAACCCCUCUCCUCGCGCACCAGGAAACAAAUAGGGAAGAAAAAGUCUCUUGCGUCUUCGGCAGCUCCAGACCUUCUCCCAGACUCCCUCCCUGCUAGCCGUGGUGCGCUAACCCCUUCAGGCUGUGUUCACGCCACCAAUCCUCUCCCUGCGCUCCCACCGAAGCCCGACCCUCAGCUCCCAGCCCCGCCCGCCCCGGCUGGUGAGCAGACAAGGCUGGUGAGUGCUGGUCGGCACUGAUCUUAUUUGCGGAAAUCUCUCUGCUUUGCCCUCUACACCCCUGUUGCUGUGGUCUCCUCCGUGGCCCCGAAGCUCCCCCCCUCCACUACCUGCAGCCUCUGCCCACGAAGGGCCUUCUAGUGUGUGGAAACCUUUCCUCCUUCACGGCUCCCUCCCACUGGUGCAGGUCCCGUCCCUGUUCUUUUGUCUCUGUUUAAUCUUUUUUCUUUUGCCCUACCCAGGUACAUGGGGAGUUUCUUGACUUUUGGGAGGUCUGAGGUCUUCUGCUAGCAUUCAGUAGGUGUUUUUUGGGUGUUCCACGUGUAAAUGUAUUUCUGAUGUAUCUCGACCUUUCUUUUCCAGCCUUCUCUUUGGAUUCAUGGUGCAUGUGUCUCUAUUCAUUUCUGGAGGCUGAAAGUCCAAGAUCCAGGUGUGGGCAGGACUAGUUUCAUUCUGAGGCCCCUCUCCUUGGCUUGCAGAUGGCUGCCUUCCCCCUGUGUCCUCAUAUGAUCAUCCCUCUGUGUCAGCUCUGUUCUUCUCCAGAUUGUUUCAGCUAUUUGGGUUUGUUUGUUUUUCCGUACAAAUUUUAAAAUUAUUCUAGUUUUGUGAAAAAUGCCAUUGGUAGUUUGAUAGGGAUUGCAUUGUAUCUGCUGAUUGUCUUGGGUAUUAUGGUCAUUUUAACAAUAUUAAUUCUUCCAAUCCAAGAAUAAAGUAUAACUUUCCAUCUUUUACAGUAUGCAGGUAAAGCUCUUUCAGGGAACAAUUGGGAGACGGGUAAUUUUGCUUUCUCCUUCUCACUGAGCCUAGGGGAUAGCCAGCUAGGAAUUGCUCCUUUGUUUUCUAUGGUCCUGUGGAACUUGUGAAUGGAACCCCCUUUAACUAUAAGACUGAUGGUCUGCUGACCCAUUUCUCGGGCAGAAGCUAUGAAAUCUUGGGUGUAGGCAUGUGUACAAGGCCAUUCCAGGGAGAUACUAGGAAAUUAGAGCCAUCUGGAGUGGGGAGGAGUGGUGUCCACUUCCCCAUUCUCUGGGGAGGAUCACAGCCAGCCCCUAGUGCCUGCUAAGUUAGAAGACUGGCCUUUAGGCGGCAGCUUUUAAAGUAUGCAGAUACUCUUUCAGGGGAAAACUGUGAGGUGUACAAUUUUGCCUGUUCCCUCUAUGCUGAUUGCUGGAAUGAUAGCCUUGGUGAGUGCUUACAUGCUUAUUAAGAAUUGUUUCUUUUUUUGCUAUACUGUUGUAAGUCUUGUGGAUACAAGCUCCAUUGGUUUUUAGAGCAAGGGAUUUUGUGAGCUUGUCCCUCUAGUGGGUCUUAGCAGUUGGUGUGCUAGAUAUGGAGUCCAAGCCCUUUGGUUUUCAGGGAGAAGCUAGAAGUUGAGACUUCUCUCCUGAUUGUAAGGCACUGUGUUGUGGGUGGAGUUGAUGCCAAGAGUGUGGAAAGAACAGCCUUUCCUACCUGUUUUGAUGUGCGUAUUUUCUCAUUUGUCCUACUUGUAGGAGUUGUUCAGCUAGUUUCUGGGUCCCUUUCAGAGUAAAUUGCUCCAUGUGUAGCUGUACAUUUGGUGUGUCUGUAUGAGGAGGGGAGCUCCUUCGUCACCAUCUUGUUGACUCCCAAUUCCUAAAGUUUUGUAUCUUGCUUUUCAGUCAAAAUAUUUCCCUUUGCUCUAAUACUGUUUUUUGAAACUUGAAGUACUUUCUUUAAUAAGAAUUUAAUCUUCCAAAUUUUCUUAGAUUUGGGUAGGAUGCCCCAUGUUAAUGAGAGUAAAAAUAUUUUUUCCUGUCAAAACUUCCUGAAGUGUGGGAACAAUAUUCUAGGGUUGCAUUUCAAUCUUGUGCUGACUUACUCUUGCAAGUAAGGAUUGCUUAACUCUAAAACUGAACUAAGUUAAGAUCAUACAAUUAUGAAAAAUCAGAGAAACUUUUAUUAGCUACACAAAUUUUGUUAGCUAUACAAAUAUAUAAGUCCUUCAUUGUUUCCUUUUAUUCUUCAAAGAUAUUUUAUGGUGUGGAUUUCUAAUUUUCAUUAUGAUCAGUGAAUAUAUUCUAUGUUAUUUGAGGGAUUUUUAAAGAUUUUGGCCUGGUAUAUGGUUUAUCUUGGUGAAUAUGCCAUAGACACUUAAAAUGUGCAUUCAUUCUAAAGUUGUUGGCUAUAGUGUUUUAUAAAUGCCCAUUAGGUUUAAAUGGUUAAUAUAUAUUGUUCAUAUCUUCUAUGAUUGAUAUUGUGUUUUGGUCUAUAAAUUACUGAAAAAGUAGAGUUUAAAGUCACCAACUAUGAUUGUGGAUUUGUCUGUUACUCCCCUUAUUUCUGUCAGUUUCAUUUCAUGUAAUCUGAAACUUUGUUAUUAGUCAUAUAAAUUUUUAUGAUGAUUAUGUCUCCCGUAUAAAUUGACCCUCUUAUAUUAUGAAAUGUCUCUAUCUCUGGUAAUACAUUAACUUGAAGUUUACUGUAUCAGAAAUUAAUAUAACUACUCUAGGUUUCAUAUGCUUUCUGUUAGUAUGGUGUAUCUUUUCAUCUUUUCUUCCUUUUAACCUAUAUCUUUAUGUAUAAAAUACUGUCAUUAGAUGGCAUAUAGUUGGGUUAUGUUUAACUGUUAACAGUUGGAGUGUUUAUUCAAUGUUCACCUAAUAUAAUUAUUGAAAAAGCGGAUUUAAGUCCACCUCUUUUAUUGUUUUUUUCUUUGUAAGUGUGUACUCCUUAUCAGUGUCUAUCUUCUGUUUUUUGUUCUUCCCUUCUUCUCUGUCUUGCUUUUGAUUGUUUCAUUUUUUUUUUCCAGAAUUCCAUUUUCCUUUACUUUUUUUUUUUUUUUUGCAGUACGCGGGCCUCUCACCACUGUGGCCUCUCCCGUUGUGGAGCACAGGCUCUGGACGCGCAGGCUCAGUGGCCAUGGUUCAUGGGCCCAGCCGCUCUGUGGCAUGUGGGAUCUUCCCGGACAGGGGCACGAACCCGUGUCCCUUGCAUCAGCAGGCGCACUCUCAACCACUGCGCCACCAGGGAAGCCCUCCUUUAAUUUUUUAACUCUACCUUUUUGUAGUUUUUUAGUGGUUUUCUAGUGAUUGCAAUAUGCAUGUUUAGUUAUUUCACUCUUUAAGACCAUUAAAUCACUUCACAUAAACAGAAGAAUCUUGGAAACAUAUAUACCUAUUUACUUAGUCUCUGCCCCCUGUUAUGCUAGAGGUGUCAUAUAUAUUAUAUCUAUAUCUACUCUAAACCAUAUAGCCAAUGGAAUAAUUGUUUUAAAUAGGUAUAUUUAUUUUUAAGAAUUUAAGAGGGAAAAUAUUUCAUAAUUACCCACAUAUUAACCAGUUUUAAAGCUUUUCAUUCUAUUCGGAAGACCCAUGUUUCCUUCUGUUAUCAUUAUUUAUCUUCCCAAAGAGGUUUCUUUAGCACCAGUUGUACUGGUGAUAAUUUUUCUUCGUUUUCUUUUAUCUGACAGUGUCUUUUUUUUAGUCCUCUUUAUUGAGGAAUAUAGUUACUGAAUAUAGAAUUAUUAACAUUUUCCCCUAGUACUUUAAAGAUAAUAUUCCAUGGUUUUCUCUGCUUCAUUGAAAUAAAAUCCAUUUUAUUAGUUGGUAUAGAAAAUAGUUGAAGCAAAAGUUUAGGCUAGCAAAGCAGGAUGUGAUAGAUACUUUGUUAUGAAGAGUUCUUAACUAAACAGUUUGUUUUUAUGUGUUGCUCUCUGUGUCUCUUGACAGUUUUGAAAAAUGAGCUCCCUUUGACAGGGAGUUGGUUUUAUUUAUAUUCUUGUCUUACCCAGAAAGUCAUACAGAAAAUAAUCAUUCCACACUUUUAAAUGGCUAGUUUUGCUUUCAUGGUAUUUACAAUAAAAUAAUAAGUUAGUUAGAGAGUAAAUGGAUGACUCUGUUAAAGAGAAAAAGCAAGGUAAAAAGAUAGGAGUGAAUUGAUGUUAGAAAUAUUUCAUUUAAUUAAUUGAUAAUAUUACCAUUUGGUCAAGGCAUAGAAAUACGGAAUAGUUUGUGAAUUGUGCUGUGAUGUAAACAUUUGGUAUGAGUUCUCUUAAAACAGAAUUGAUCCAUCUCUUGAAAUAACUCUCUUUAUUGAAGAUAAGUGGAACAUGGGUACGUCACAACCUCUGAAUUUAGGGAGGAUGAAAUUAACCUUUGAAUUGUAUGUGUUUGAUUUGAAUGGCAUUUUUUUUUGCUUUCACAUGAUUCCCACAUGUGAACUUCCAUGACAAUCAUACAGGAAAGAGGAAGCUGUUGUAGUUUUUGCAAUGUACAUUGUCACCAAAACAUACUACCAUCCUUGAUCUUAUGAGAAAUUUAGAAAUAAUAUUCCAAUAGACAUAUAAGAUAAAUAAGUUUCUGUGGAAGCAGAAGUGCUCAGUUUUGAGAAGCACUUUGGUGUUGUAAUGUCUUAUGUUAAUGAUUCUCAAAUUCUGCCCCAUUCUACUUUAUCAUCUAUCUGUCUGUCUAUCACUUUAUCUUCUGUAUUUAUCUGUAUAUCUCUACCUAUCAUCUGCCUAUUAACUUAAUAGAUAAGUUAUCAUUCAAGUUCAGUCACCCAUCUUAUAAACGAUCUUUUGUGUAUCAUCAAUUUAUCUAUCUCUCCAUCCAUGCCUUUAUUAGGUAUAAUAGGCAGAAGAGCAUGGCAAUAGAAAAACAAGGGGUUUACCUCCCAUGUGAAAGGACAGUGAUAACAGUGGUCUCUGAAGUGAUGAUGUAUAAGGAGAAAACAAGAAGAGAACAUGAGGACUGAGGACCAGUAACUCAGGGACCCAUCUAGCAGGAACUCUGGACUUACUACUAUGCUCACAUUUGAAAAAUCAAAAUAGAGUUGCCUAUAUUCUGUGUCAGCUUACGUGAGAAAAUUUCAUCUAAAUAUGACAGCUCUGCCUUUUCAGUCCACCUAUGCUUCCAUAUUUUAAAACUCAGUUUUAAUUACAUGGAGCUAUCACCUCAGUUUACUUUAAACUAGACCAUGGAUUGGUAAACCUUUUCUGUAAAAGGCCAAAUAACAAAUGAUUUCAGCUUUUUAGGAUUUAUGAACUCUGUUACAGCUAAUUACUCUUCUAUUGUAGUGUGAAAGCAGCUGAACACAAUGUGCCAUUGAAUGAGUGUGGCUGUGUUCCAGUAAUACUUUAUUUACAACAGCAGGCUGUGGGCUUGAGUACCAUAUGCUGAACUAGAGCAUUGGUUAAAUCCGAACCUGGAAAAUAAUCGGAUGAACCCCACUACAUGGGGAAAUGGACCUACAUAAGAUAUGCACAGUUGGGGCUCUGUAACGUUGAGAAUACUGAAGGAGGAAGAUAAGUACAGAAGGAAAAACCAGUCAUAUAUGGGUAAGGCUGCAUCUGUCAAAGAGGACUGCUGGACACUGAGCUGUUCACCCUUUGGUUUUGACUGGUACAAUUUGGGGAUGUUUGGACCUGGUAAAUCUCUUUAAGGAUGAUAAAACUGAUUAAUGAUGUUAAGAUGUUUAUAAUAUUAUUAAACUAAUAUGUGAAUCGGGCUUCCCUGGUGGCGCAGUGGUUGAGAGUCCGCCUGCCGAUGCAGGGGACACGGGUUCGUGCCCCGGUCUGGGAAGAUCCCACAUGCCGUGGAGCGGCUAGGCCCGUGAGCCAUGGCCGCUGGGCCUGCACGUCCGGAGCCUGUGCUCCGCAACGGGAGAGGCCACAGCAGUGAGAGGCCCACGUACAGCAAAAAAAAAAAAAAAGGUUAAAAAAAAAAACAAACUAAUAU